GCGAAAGUUUCCGAGCUAACUCGGGCCGUGCUGCCCAGACUGAACCCUUGCACGCCACGGCACACCCACAAGGCGUCCGGGUUGCUGUGCCCGGCUGCAAGCCCACGGGCGAGGCUCAAGACGACCUUUCACCCACUACUCUGGCCCCAGGCUCCCCAACUUCAGAUUUAUUAUCACUGCUCUUGCAAUAUUAACUGACACGACUGCGGCUCAGAAUGGCCGCUGGAAACAUGUUACCAACAGGUUGGGAGCAAAGAUUCCAGAUGGUUCCGGAGAUAAGGUCUAUCUGCUGAACGCACUAGCUCAGGGAAUUUUUAAAGCCUUGUGAUUCAUA
ensembl:lncRNA